rnacentral:rRNA from 1 species
UGAACGCUGACAGAAUGCUUACCACAUGCAAGUCAUUGGCGAAGCUGCGCUUGCGCAGUCUAGCCAAGGCGGACGGGUGAGUAACGCGUAAGGAACUUGCCCUGCAGACAGGGAUAACAGACGGAAACGACUGAUAACACCUGGUAUUGUCAGGCUGGCGCAUGCCGGCCUGAUGAAAGGAGACGCUGCAGGAGAGCCUUGCGUCCUAUUAGCUAGUUGGUGGGGGAACGGCCCACCAAGGCGAUGAUAGGUAGCCGGCCUGAGAGGGUGAACGGCCACAAGGGGACUGAGAGACGGCCCUGACUCCUACGGGAGGCAGCAGUGGGGAAUAUUGGACAAUGGGGGCAACCCUGAUCCAGCAAUUCUGUGUGCACGAAGAAGGUUUUCGGAUUGUAAAGUGCUUUCAGCAGGGAAGAAGAAAGUGACGGUACCUGCAGAAGAAGCGACGGCUAAAUACGUG